rnacentral:lncRNA from 1 species
UCCCGUUUUAUUUUUUUUGAAUAUCCUCCUUCCUUGGAUUAGUACUGGGACGCAUAUAUCAAAAGCUCAGUGUGAAAUUUGAAUGAGAUAUAUCUUUCUUUUUUCAAAUUCAAAAUGUUCAUAAUUGAGGUUACACAAAAUCGGAGCCAGAAAAGGAAAAAGUGGAAUCUGGAAAAGUAUUCUCUAAGGGUAAUGUAAUUGAGUGAAAU